UGCGCGGUAGUUUCAGGAAGAGGAGACUCGACUUGAAGGUCGGGGAUAUUUUGGGGAGAAUGGAUUAAUCUCUGUUUUUCACGGGAUAACUCUGGCAAUGUUUUACCUAUUUUACUUUGAAAAAAUUAGAGUGUUCAAAGCAAGGCGUUUUUGCCUAUUGAAUAUUGCAGCAUGGGAUAAUAGAAAAAGAUAGUCCGUCUUAUUUUGUUGGUUUUUUAAGAUGACAAUAAUGAUAGAAGGGGAUGGUUGGGGCGGUCUGUAUUGCCACGUCAGAGGUGAAAUUCUUAGAUUGUGGCAAGACAAACAACUGCGAAAGCAUUCCGCUAGGACAUAUUCAUCAAUCAAGAACGAAAGUUGGGGGAUCGAAGACGAUCAGAUACCGUCGUAGUCUCAACCAUAAACAAUGCCGACCAAGGAUUGGAGAUUGUUAAAUUUUAAUGACUUCCCCAGCACUUUGCGAGAAAUCACAAGUCUUUGGGUUCCGGGGGGAGUAUGGUCGCAAGGCUGAAACUUAAAGGAAUUGACGGAAGGGCACCACCAGGCGUGGAACUUGCGGCUUAAUUUGACCCAACACGGGAAAACUUACCAGGUCCAGACAGCGUUAGGAUUGACAGAUUGAGAGCUCUUUCAUGAUUCGUUGGGUGGUGGUGCAUGGCCGUUCUUAGUUGGUGGUGUGAAUUGUCUGGUUGAUUCCAUUAACGAACGAGACCUUGACUUACUAAAUAGCAGCUGGAAGAUAUUGCAUUAAGGCUAUGGAUCGGUAUUUUCGGAAGGGUCAGUCCCCCGGAGAUAGUUGUUUCCAUGGUUGCUUUUUUUCCAGAAAGCUUCUUAGAGGGACUAUUAGUGACAAGCUAAUGGAAGUUCGAGGCAAAAACAGGUCUGUGAUGCCCUUCGAUGUUCUGGGCCGCACGCGUGUUACACUGAUAAAGUCAACGAGUUUAGAACCUUCUCUGAGAGGAGUGGGUAAUCUUUUCAAACUUUAUCGUGAUGGGGAUAGAUGAUUGCAAUUAUUCAUCUUCAACGAGGAAUGCCUAGUAAGCGCGAUUCAUCAUAUCGCGUUGACUGCGUCCCUGCCCUUUGUACACACCGCCCGUCGCUCCUACCGAUUGAAUGCUCCGGUGAAAUCUUCGGAUUGUGAGAAGCUAACUUUUGCUGACUUUGUCGGCAAAGACUCUUGUAAAAAGUUGAUUAAAUCUUAGCAUUU
rnacentral:rRNA from 1 species